ncrna:unclassified sequences RAGATH-31 RNA
GGAGGACGUGAGGAACAAUGGUUGGUACACGUCGCCGCCCUCCUCACGGACUCC